UAUACGACCGUACCGCAAACCGACACUGGUGCGCGAGAUGAGUAUUCUAAGGCGCUUGAGAGAACUCAGGAGAAGGAACUCGGCAAAUUGACACCGUAACUUCGGAAGAAGGUGUGCCCUAUUAGUGUGUAGUGAACAACGAAGCAUGAAUGGGUUGCAAAAAAUCGGUGGCUGCGACUGUUUAUUAAAAACACAGCACUCUGCAAACACGAAAGUGGACGUAUAGGGUGUGACGCCUGCCCGGUGCUGGAAGAUUAAAUGAUGGGGUGCAAGCUCUUGAUUGAAGUCCCAGUAAACGGCGGCCGUAACUAUAACGGUCCUAAGGUAGCGAAAUUCCUUGUCGGGUAAGUUCCGACCUGCACGAAUGGCGUAACGAUGGCCACACUGUCUCCUCCUGAGACUCAGCGAAGUUGAAAUGUUUGUGAUGAUGCAAUCUCCCCGCGGAAAGACGGAAAGACCCCAUGAACCUUUACUGUAGCUUUGUAUUGGACUUUGAACAGAUCUGUGUAGGAUAGGUGGGAGGCUUUGAAGCAGGGUCGCUAGAUCUUGUGGAGCCAACGUUGAAAUACCACCCUGGUGUGUUUGAGGUUCUAACCUAGGUCCAUUAUCUGGAUCGGGGACAGUGCAUGGUAGCAGUUUGACUGGGGCGGUCUCCUCCCAAAGCGUAACGGAGGAGUUCGAAGGUACGCUAGUUACGGUCGGACAUCGUGACGAUAGUGCAAUGGCAUAAGCGUGCUUAACUGCGAGACUGACAAGUCGAGCAGAUGCGAAAGCAGGACAUAGUGAUCCGGUGGUUCUGUAUGGAAGGGCCAUCGCUCAACGGAUAAAAGGUACUCUGGGGAUAACAGGCUGAUACCGCCCAAGAGUUCAUAUCGACGGCGGUGUUUGGCACCUCGAUGUCGGCUCGUCUCAUCCUGGGGCUGUAGCCGGUCCCAAGGGUAUGGCUGUUCGCCAUUUAAAGAGGUACGUGAGCUGGGUUUAAAACGUCGUGAGACAGUUUGGUCCCUAUCUUCCGUGGGCGCUGCAGAUUUGAGGAAGCCUGCUCCUAGUACGAGAGGACCGGAGUGGACACACCUCUGGUGUAUCGGUUGUCACACCAGUGGCAUUGCCGAGUAGCUAAGUGUGGAAGAGAUAACCGCUGAAAGCAUCUAAGCGGGAAACUCGUUUCAAGAUGAGAUCUGCCGGGGCCUUGAGCCCCCUAAAGAGUCGUUCAAGACCAGGACGUUGAUAGGUCAGGUGUGGAAGCUAAAAG
rnacentral:rRNA from 1 species